GUCCCUUUUGAUGAGAAGAAUAAGCCUCAUUCUGAUUCAACAGCAGAGAUCAAAGAAAAGACUUCUGUUUUCUGGCCACCAGAUAUAUGUUAUCUGUGCUUAAAGAAUUGAAAAACACACAUCAAAGGAGAAUUUUCUUGGAAAGAGAGGGUUCAAGCAUCACUGUUAGGUGUGCUGGAAUCCUUUCCCGAGUCAGUACUGCUUUCUAGAAGAAAACCGGGGAGAUCUAUUUGGAAUGUAUC
rnacentral:lncRNA from 1 species